rnacentral:rRNA from 1 species
GAACGAGAAGCCAGGCUUCGGCCUGGUGGAAAGUGGCAGACGGGUGAGGAACACGUGGGAAUCUGCCCAGUGGUACGGAAUAACUUCGGGAAACCGGAGCUAAUGCCGUAUACGCCCUUCGGGGGAAAGAUUUAUCGCCAUUGGAUGAGCCCGCGUCGGAUUAGCUUGUUGGUAGGGUAACGGCCUACCAAGGCGACGAUCCGUAGCUGGUCUGAGAGGAUGAUCAGCCACACUGGGACUGAGACACGGCCCAGACUCCUACGGGAGGCAGCAGUGGGGAAUAUUGCACAAUGGGCGCAAGCCUGAUGCAGCCAUGCCGCGUGAGUGAAGAAGGCCUUAGGGUUGUAAAACUCUUUCACCGGUGAAGAUAAUGACGGUAGCCGGAGAAGAAGCCCCGGCCAACUCCGUGCCAGCAGCCGCGGUAAUACGGAGGGGGCUAGCGUUGUUCGGAAUUACUGGGCGUAAAGCGCACGUAGGCGGAUUGGUAAGUUGGGGGUGAAAUCCCAAGGCUCAACCUUGGAACUGCCCUCGAAACUGCCAGUCUUGAGUCCGGAAGAGGUGAGUGGAAUUCCUAGUGUAGAGGUGAAAUUCGUAGAUAUUAGGAAGAACACC